GGCCCCCGUCAAUCUCGUUUGGUCGCUCGUGAGGAGCUUCGAUCAGCCGCAGAGGUACAAGCCGUUUGUGAGCCGGUGCGUGGUGCAGGGGGAUCUGGAGAUCGGGAGCUUGCGGGAGGUGAAUGUUAAGACGGGGCUACCGGCGACGACUAGCACGGAGAGGCUGGAGAUGCUGGAUGAUGAUGAGCAUGUUCUUGUGUUCAAGAUUAUCGGUGGGGAUCACCGGCUCAGGAACUACUCUUCAGUCCUAACCGCCCAUCCCGAGGUCAUAGAUGGGAAGCCGGGGACAAUGGUAAUCGAGUCUUUCGUGGUCGAUGUGCCAGAGGGGAACACCAAGGACGAGACGUGCUACUUUGUUGAGGCACUGAUAAAGUGCAACCUCAAAUCGCUGGCUGAUGUGUCUGAGGGCCUGGCAUCACAGGAUUCCGCAGAGGCCAUGAAUUGAUGUUGCAGAGACUUAGCAGUCCAAUGGUGUGGAGAUGGUAGUACCUCCCAGGCUCUAGAGGUGAUAGUCCCUUAGCUUCCUAUGAGAAAUGUGCAUCCGGACAUCGUCUGUACCUGGACUGUGGGUUGGAUGUAAAUACCUAUGUCGCUCUUAACUGGCUAUUUAUGUAGUCGUGAAUGCCAGUUUAAUGCAGCAGGAACUGUAUUAUGUAUGUUUCAGGGAAACGGUAGCUGGAUUUUUC
rnacentral:misc_RNA from 1 species